AAAAGCUUAGUUAAGUAAAUAACAUUUAAAUGUCAUUUAAAAAUCAUAAUUAAUUUUAUAACUUUUU
rnacentral:tRNA from 1 species